CCUACGGGUGGCAGCAGUGGGGAAUCUUGCGCAAUGGGCGGAAGCCUGACGCAGCGACGCCGCGUGCGGGACGAAGGCCUUCGGGUCGUAAACCGCUUUCAUCAGGGACGAAGCCCUCACGGUGACGGUACCUGCAGCAGAAGCCCCGGCUAACUACGUGCCAACAGCCGAGGUAAUGCGUGGGGGGCGAGCGUUAUCCGGGUUCAUUGGGCGUAAAGCGCGCGUAGGCGGUCUGUUAGGUCGGGGGUCAAAGACCGGGGCUCAACCCCGGUCCGCCUCCGAUACCGGCAGGCUUGAGUGUGGUAGGGGAAGGCGGAAUUCCAAGUGUAGCGGUGGAAUGCGCAGAUAUUGGGAAGAACACCGGCGGCGAAGGCGGCCUUCUGGGCCACGACUGACGCUGAGGCGCGAAAGCGAGGGGAGCGAACAGGAUUAGAUACCCCAGUAGUC
rnacentral:rRNA from 1 species